GAUGAACGCUGGCGGCGUGCCUAAUACAUGCAAGUCGAGCGAACAGACGAGGAGCUUGCUCCUCUGACGUUAGCGGCGGACGGGUGAGUAACACGUGGAUAACCUACCUAUAAGACUGGGAUAACUUCGGGAAACCGGAGCUAAUACCGGAUAAUAUAUUAAACCGCAUGGUUCAAUAGUGAAAGACGGUUUUGCUGUCACUUAUAGAUGGAUCCGCGCCGCAUUAGCUAGUUGGUAAGGUAACGGCUUACCAAGGCGACGAUGCGUAGCCGACCUGAGAGGGUGAUCGGCCACACUGGAACUGAGACACGGUCCAGACUCCUACGGGAGGCAGCAGUAGGGAAUCUUCCGCAAUGGGCGAAGGCCUGACGGGGCAACGCCGCGUGAGUGAUGAAGGUCUUCGGAUCGUAAAACUCUGUUAUUAGGGAAGAACAAAUGUGUAAGUAACUAUGCACGUCUUGACGGUACCUAAUCAGAAAGCCACGGCUAACUACGUG
rnacentral:rRNA from 1 species